UGGUGUAAUGUACAAGGUCAAUGUUGU
rnacentral:piRNA from 1 species